UAUGGGGGACCUUUGGGAUAGCAUUGAAAAUGUAAACGAGGAAAAUACCUAAUAAAAAAAAAAAGAAAAAAAAAAAAAAAAGAAGGCAGACUUCUUACAUAUAGCCACAGCUAAGAUGAGGCAUGUUGGCAUGGCGAUACAACUUUAAUGAUUGAGUUGAACUAAGCGUAAAUUGUGUUACUUUUAGACACAUGCAUUGAGUGCUGUAAACUGAGCUUGCCAAAUGGGGAAAUAAAUAACACCUAAGUCCUGAGGCCAUAUAUGUAAUAUAUAAUUCCUGGGGAGUAUUUACUGAAGUUAAGGUUUAUAACCUUAAGUUAUCUCAGCCAUCAUUUUCCUUCAUUCAUGCAAGGUGCACAGGCAUAAGACACCUGUCAUGGUGAUGUCCAAACAUCUGGAACAGCAGCACUCAUUCUCAGGAGUAGGAAGACAGGAAGACAGACGAGGAGUAGUAGUGGGUUCUCCUGAUGCCAACAGAUCUGCUGCAUGUCAAUGCCAUAUCUCAGAGAGUCCACACCUCUUGUGUGCUGCAAAUGUUCCAGAUCUGACGUCAGAUGGCCUAAGUACAGCUACAUGCAAACCUCUAGUUCAUACAUAUACCAGAGCAUGGAGGCAGUAGAGGAAACACCCAAAGCUGUCCCUCCUAAAGAUAGCUUUGUUUCUUUCACAUACUUACAGGCCUGUAAAGCAACAGGGGGAACAUUCCACACUCAGCACUCAUCAACAGAGAGCUCUGGGGGACCAUCGGGGGCGACCGACAUCUUACUGAGCAGGACUCUUAAAAGAUACCAUUGCAGAUAGAAUGUGAUGCGAUAUAGGAGGUCGCCUUUUCAGAUAUUUCUAAAGCAAGCUUCUUUGGUGCUGGGGAACUGCCCUAGAUAAAUAUGCUGUAAACCUCUGCAAGGCCCUGCUUAUUCAGCUUAAUAACCCCGUUGCGGGUUCUGAAUAAUGUACGAAUUUGAUUCAUUAUUUAGAAAUCUGAGUUACCACAGUAAUGAACUACUUGUUACAUUUACUGAAGCCUGCCAAUACUGCAGAGGUUGUCAGGCUCGUGUGGCCUCAGAUCUAAGUGAAUUUUUAAGCUAGCUUGAAAAUCAAAAGAAAAAAAAAGAAUCAGCUUUCAAAAGUCAGAGAAAACACAUUGCCAAUCAUUAGUGACCCUUUGCGACUUGUAGCUUAAAGAAAAAGAACAGGUUAAUUGUCCUCAGAGCAAAUGCCAGGACCCUCAAUAACACUUCCAUUUUAAACGAGUCUCAGUCUCUACCUUGUCUGUAGAUAGUUCCCACAAAGUCUGAGGCAUGUAAUGACUGUCCAGCAUAGUGUUACCCUAAGAAACCAUAUAUCACAUAUGUAUUAAAACUAGAUAUUUCUUUUUUCCAUUGCCCCUUGGCCCUUUUAGAAUAACUGUCAGUCUCUGCAAAUGGUUUCACUAAGUAAAAAGUCAAUUGGCUGUAAGUGGUGAUGAAGAAAUGGUCAUGUGAUUAAUGUUUCAGUUUAGGCUGUUGUGAUUAGUCACAGGAAAAAAAAAAAAAAAAACAGUUAAACUUGCUCCUGAAGAAACAUAGUAUGUUAAGGCAAAUGGCCCGGCUGCAGCGCGAUAGGAAGAAAGAGUUGAGUAGUGUUAAAAGCCUGCCUAUUGAUUUGUACCCCGACUGAAAGUCAUGUGCUGAUGUAAAUGAAAAUGUGUCAAGAGUUGAUAUCGAUUUUUUUUUUUAAAUCAGGCCAUCUCUGGGGAAAUACUGCUAGCCAUGCUGCUGCUCUUGUCUAGGAGGGAAAUAAGGUUCUUUUCCACAAGACUACACAUGUCCAGACAUCAGAAAUGCUCUCUUUAACAGAGGUGCAGUGGAUUGUCAGUUCACUGUCUGCAGUCUCUGCUUGAAAGAAAUGACCCAGAGUACCUGUGUUCAGGAGAAACUCAAGAGGAAAUGAAAGGUUUGUGUGUCAAAGAGAGGAGUGUGUGAGAAUAGGUGCAUGCUACAUACUUGCCAAUUAGCCUGUUGCACAUAUGUUGUACAUAGCUCAAAAUACAUAUUUUCCUAAUAUAAGACUUUUCAUCUCAUGCCUCAAGACAAAAACCACCAUAGAAGAAUAAUUUUACUUAUAGAGGCUGCUCUUCAUAGACAACUACAAUAAAGGCCAAAGACGGCAUAGAUUAGAAACCACAAAAUGGUUUUAUUUCUCCUUUAGCCUACAGAAAGACAGUCCUAUUUUCUCUUUUCUGAUAGAACUUUUCCAAUUUGUUCCUUAUUCAUAGGUUAUGACACUUGCAAAUAUUGACUAAUAGGAGAAAGGGCCAGGAGUUAUAAUAAUCAUGAAGCUUUGGGUCAGAUCUGUAGGGAUUUCUACUGUUUAGGCACGGCUGGGCAAUAUGUCCUCUCCAAUAUUAGGCAAUUAGAAUGGGAAGUUAGUGUGGAAGAGGAAAGAGGUCAUCACCCACCAAUAUAUGUGGAUUAUUUGUAAUAACUAUUAGG
rnacentral:lncRNA from 1 species